CCGGGGCAUCCCGGAGGCAGGAAAGGCUUCGGCCGGACAGGGAUGGGCAUGCGGCGCAUUAGGCAGUAGGCGGGGUAACGGCCCACCUAACCGACGAUGCGUAGGGGUUCUGAGAGGAAGGUCCCCCACACUGGUACUGAGACACGGACCAGACUCCUACGGGAGGCAGCAGUGAGGAAUAUUGGUCAAUGGUCGGGAGACUGAACCAGCCAAGCCGCGUGAGGGAUGAAGGUACAGAGUAUCGUAAACCUCUUUUGUCAGGGAACAAAGGCGGGGACGUGUCCCCGGAUGAGUGUACCUGAAGAAAAAGCAUCGGCUAACUCCGUGCCAGCAGCCGCGGUAAUACGGAGGAUGCGAGCGUUAUCCGGAUUUAUUGGGUUUAAAGGGUGCGCAGGCGGUCUGUUAAGUCAGCGGUCAAAGCCCGGGGCUCAACCCCGGCCCGCCGUUGAAACUGGCAGUCUCGAGUUGGAGAGAAGUAUGCGGAAUGCGCGGUGUAGCGGUGAAAUGCAUAGAUAUCGCGCAGAACUCCAAUUGCGAAGGCAGCAUGCCGGCUCCACACUGACGCUGAGGCACGAAAGCGUGGGUAUCGAACAGGAUUAGAUACCCUGGUAGUCCACGCAGUAAACGAUGAAUGCUGGCUGUCCGGG
rnacentral:rRNA from 1 species